UGUGUGUGAUUCUCCCGUGUCUCCUGGUAUGCGUUAUGAUUAGUUUUCCCACUUUAGUUUUGCAUUGCUUGUCUUCUGUUCUCCAGCAAUAAAGCUGUGCUUUUGAGUUCAAGUUCUGUCCCCUUGAGUUUGCGUUUGGGUCCAAUCCCUGCCUGCCACACAGCGAAACAUGACAACAACAGAGGACAGUGUUUACCUGAUCAGAGACAGCCAGAGGAGCAGGAUGAUCUCAGUAUACCAGCAUCCACUUCUCCAACAACCAGGCAGAUCCUCUCUACUCCAACAUCAGAGCAGCUCAGCCUCACAGACACAUGCAGGAACAGGAAGUUACUGAGUACACUGCUGUUAGAUUUAACAGAGGCAGUGCAGCCAAGAGAGACAGAAGUCAGGAAACAGGAGAGUCUCCAUGUGCACUGUUCUCCACAGUCAACAAAACCAGAUGAAGGACGGGUUGAUGAUGAUGUGAUAUUUAUGUAGACUUAAAAAAAAAAAAAAAGAUUAAGCUCAAUUGUAGUCAACUGGUUCAUAAAAU